UCUCAUAUCGGGAAUGAUGUUCUCCCGCAUACGGCUCCGAGCGAGCCUGUGAAACCGCUUUCAAAGCUGAUGACUUCUGCGUUCCU
rnacentral:ncRNA from 2 species